CUACGGGUGGCAGCAGUGGGGAAUAUUGCACAAUGGAGGAAACUCUGAUGCAGCAACGCCGCGUGGAGGAUGACACUUUUCGGAGCGUAAACUCCUUUUAUAUAGGAAGAAGAUGACGGUACUAUAUGAAUAAGCGCCGGCUAGACUCCGUGCCAGCAGCCGCGGUAAUACGGAGGGCGCAAGCGUUACUCGGAAUCACUGGGCGUAAAGAGCGUGUAGGCGGAUUAAAAAGUCAGAAGUGAAAUCCUAUAGCUUAACUAUAGAACUGCUUCUGAAACUCUUAAUCUAGAAUAUGGGAGAGGUAGAUGGAAUUUCUGGUGUAGGGGUAAAAUCCGUAGAGAUCAGAAGGAAUACCGAUUGCGAAGGCGAUCUACUAGAACAUUAUUGACGCUGAGACGCGAAAGCGUGGGGAGCAAACAGGAUUAGAUACCCUUGUAGUC
rnacentral:rRNA from 1 species